rnacentral:rRNA from 1 species
ACGGCGAGUGAAGCGGCAACAGCUCAAAUUUGAAAUCUGGCCGUAAGGUCCGAGUUGUAAUUUGUAGAGGAUGUUUUGGGUACCGCCCCGGUUUAAAUUUCUUGGAACAGAAUGUCAAAGAGGGUGAGAAUCCCGUCUUGGACCGGGGUAGGGCCUGUGUAAAACUCCUUCGACGAGUCGACUUGUUUGGGAAUGCAGGUCAAAAUGGGUGGUAAAUUUCAUCUAAAGCUAAAUAUUGGCCAGAGACCGAUAGCGCACAAGUAGAGUGAUCGAAAGAUGAAAAGCACUUUGAAAAGAGAGUUAAACAGUAUGUGAAAUUGUUGAAAGGGAAGCGCUGGCAACCAGACUCGAGCGCGGUGUUCCCCCUGGCUUCUGCCUGGGUUACUUCACCGUGUCCGGGCCAUCAUCAGUUUUGGGGGUCGGUCAAAGGCUCUGGGAAUGUAUCCAACCCUCCGGGGUUGGACUUAUAGCCCAGGGUGUCAUGCGACCUCCCGGGACUGAGGAACGCGCUUCGGCGAGGAUGAUGGCGUAAUGGUUGUCAGCGACCCGUCUUGAAACACGGACCAAGGAGUCUAACAUCUAUGCGAGUGUUCGGGUGUCAAACCCUUGCGCGUAAUGAAAGUGAACGGAGGUAGGAAGGCGCAAGCCUGCACUAUCGACCGAUCCUGAUGUCUUCGGAUGGAUUUGAGUAAGAGCAUAGCUGUUGGGACCCGAAAGAUGGUGAACUAUGCGUGAAUAGGGUGAAGCCAGAGGAAACUCUGGUGGAGGCUCGCAGCGGUUCUGACGUGCAAAUCGAUCGUCAAAUUUGCGUAUAGGGGCGAAAGAC